UACGUAGGGUGCAAGCGUUAAUCGGAAUUACUGGGCGUAAAGCGUGCGCAGGCGGUGAUGUAAGACAGAUGUGAAAUCCCGGGCUCACUUGGGAACUGCAUUUGUGACUGCAUCGCUGGAGUGCGGCAGAGGGGGAUGGAAUUCCGCGUGUAGCAGUGAAAUGCGUAGAUAUGCGGAGGAACACCAAUGGCGAAGGCAGAUCGUCUGGGCCGACACUGACACUGAGAGACGAAAGCUAGGGGAGCGAAUGGG
rnacentral:rRNA from 1 species